rnacentral:rRNA from 1 species
UACGUAGGGACCGAGCGUUGUCCGGAAUCAUUGGGCGUAAAGAGCGUGUAGGCGGCCACUUAAGUCCUGCGUGAAAUCCUGCGGCUCAACCGCAGGCGGUCGUGGGAAACUGUCUGGCUAGAGUCCGGAAGGGGCGAGUGGAAUUCCUGGUGUAGCGGUGAAAUGCGCAGAUAUCAGGAGGAACACCUAUGGCGAAGGCAGCUCGCUGGGACGGUACUGACGCUGAGGCGCGAAAGCGUGGGGAGCGAACAGG